rnacentral:lncRNA from 1 species
GGGAGGCUUCGGAGGUGCUGGCCUUCCUGGUCAUGUGCUUGAUCUAUCUUCUGACUUUGGGGCUGGGUUCCCUGAACCCUAUAGACUUUUCUGACCAUGUUUCUUCCGGAGGUCAGGUGGCUUGAGUCCUGAAGGCAGGUUGGCAGCAAGGGCUCUUAACCUUCUCCAGAGACUGGCCAGCAGGAGUGAGGCUCCAGUAGCUGGCACCUGAAGCCUUCCUGAGAGCAGAGGGCAGGGCUGCCUCCUUCCCAGGCCAUUGCUUUAGCCAGGUUGGGUUGAGUGCUGCUGGGACUCUACCUGCCUUUUUACUACCUUCUCUCUCAAUACACAACACCUGGGACGUAUUUUACUAUUUAUUUGGACACAGGCUAGCUAUUUAUUGCAGAGUGGCAAGUGACCUGGGGAGGAGUGGCCAGGAUGCUAAAGGAGUUGGAGAAUUCAAAUAUGGAUUGUCUUAUUCCCCAAGGUUAACCCUGACAUCCUCUCCCCGUUCCUGCCUGAGAGGGCUGCCAGCUUUACCCUAGAGCCGAGUAUAAGGGAGGCCAUAUACACUCCCGCCAUCUUGACCGCCCCCAGACCUAGGACUUGGUAGCUGGUAGCUCAGCCCCAGUACUGCUCCCUUUGUUGACUGGGACGCAGCAAAUGCUGCCCAGGACGCGGAUGCAUUCAUUCCUUCUUGCCUGCCUCCCCCACCCCACCCCUUGCCCCGUUUCCUGGGACCAUGCUACUGGAAUCACUGCAUCUGAUUUGUUUCUGUGGGAGACCUGCAUCCUGUGCCCACCACUUGGUCCUUGAGAUGAAGGCCAAGGACAUGGAGACUUUGUCUUGGGUAGGGUGGCUCCGCAGUUGGACGCUGCCUGAGGGAAGGAUCUGCCCUUGAUUCUUAAGGGGGAACCCCGAGCCUGAGCUCCUGCAGCUCCCGGGAGCUCAGCAGGCCAGGGCUGUUGAUGAGUCGUCCUUAAUAAACUGUGCUCUUUACC